AAGCGCGCGUAGGYGGUUUGUHAAGUUGGAUGUGAAACCCCGGCUCAACCUGNNACUGCAUCCDAAACUGGCAAGCUAGAGUAUGGCAGAGGGUGGUGGAAUUUCCUGUGUAGCGGUGAAAUGCGUAGAUAUAGGAAGGAACACCDGUGGCGAAGGCGACCACCUGGGCUAAUACUGACACUGAGGUGCKAAAGCGUGGGGAGCAAACAGGAUUAGAUACCCUGGUAGUCCACGCCGUAAACGAUGUCGACUAGCCGUUGGGAUCCUUGAGAUCUUAGUGGCGCACGUAACGCAUUAAGUCGACDGCCUDGGGAGUACGGCCGCAAGGU
rnacentral:rRNA from 1 species